CUACGGGGGGCUGCAGUGAGGAAUAUUGCACAAUGGGGGGAACCCUGAUGCAGCAACGCCGCGUGGAGGAUGACGCAUUUCGGUGUGUAAACUCCUUUUAUAUGUCAAGAAAAUGACGGGUGCAUAUGAAUAAGCACCGGCUAACUCCGUGCCAGCAGCCGCGGUAAUACGGAGGGUGCAAGCGUUACUCGGAAUCACUGGGCGUAAAGGACGCGUAGGCGGGUUGGAAAGUCAGGUGUGAAAUCCUACAGCUUAACUGUAGAACUGCACUUGAAACUUCUAAUCUAGAGUAUGGGAGGGGGAGAUGGAAUUAGUGGUGUAGGGGUAAAAUCCGUAGAUAUCACUAGGAAUACCUAAAGCGAAGGCGAUCUCCUGGAACAUUACUGACGCUAAGGCGUGAAAGCGUGGGGAGCAAACAGGAUUAGAUACCCUAGUAGUC
rnacentral:rRNA from 1 species